rnacentral:tRNA from 1 species
UGAGGUUGUGGCUCAGUGGUAGAGUGCUCGCUUAGCACACGUGAGGCAAUGGGUUCAAACCACCACAUUAA